GGCAACUCUUUCUUUGGUCUAAAAGAUAUAACCGGAAUUCCAAUAAGCCAAGCUCAGUGGCUAGUGCCUCUAACCCCAUAUCAGCUACCAAAGGAAAGGCAAGUGGGUAGAAUGGAUACAAUUAAUAUUUGCUCUAAUACUUGGGAAAUUAGAGCGAUACCAAGAAACGUUAGGUAAGGUUGUGUCCCACCAUAAAAAGGCCA
rnacentral:lncRNA from 1 species